CCUCGGGAGGCAGCAGUGAGGAAUAUUGGUCAAUGGACGAGAGUCUGAACCAGCCAAGUAGCGUGAAGGAUGACUGCCCUAUGGGUUGUAAACUUCUUUUAUAUGGGAAUAAAGUUUUCCACGUGUGGAAUUUUGUAUGUACCAUAUGAAUAAGGAUCGGCUAACUCCGUGCCAGCAGCCGCGGUAAUACGGAGGAUCCGAGCGUUAUCCGGAUUUAUUGGGUUUAAUGGGAGCGUAGGUGGAUUGUUAAGUCAGUUGUGAAAGUUUGCGGCUCAACCGUAAAAUUGCAGUUAAACCUGGCAGUU
rnacentral:rRNA from 1 species